UACGGAGGGUGCAAGCGUUAUCCGGAUUCACUGGGUUUAAAGGGUGCGUAGGAGGACAGGUAAGUCAGUGGUGAAAUCUCCGAGCUUAACUUGGAAACUGCCGUUGAUACUAUCUGCCUUGAAUAUUGUGGAGGUGAGCGGAAUAUGUCAUGUAGCGGUGAAAUGCUUAGAGAUGACAUAGAACACCUAUUGCGAAGGCAGCUUACUACGCAGAGAUUGACGCUCAUGCACGAAAGCGUGGGGAUCAAACAGG
rnacentral:rRNA from 1 species